CAGGCCCUCUGUGUGCUAUUUCAGCGAGUCGGAGAAGUGCUCCUCCACCACUCUCCCCAGCCAUGCGCCAGCUUCAGAAGAUGCACGUUAGGCCAGCGGUCAUCACCUGAACAGAGCAGUGCAUGAAGCUGGAAGGGAAGCAGCUGCUUACAAGCUCUGGAGAGAUGGCAUGUGCAGCACUCGACAUACUCAUGGUACUUCCUUGAAGAUGAGCCCCUGAGGGAAGAUGCAGCCCCAGCAUAAC
rnacentral:lncRNA from 1 species